rnacentral:lncRNA from 1 species
AGCAUUCUUGCCAUGAGUGCGGGAGACUUUUUUCCCAUCAUGCAUGUGUGGGAGACAUUUUUCCCAUCACGCAUGUAGGGCGACUUACAAUUUUUCAAAAAUAAUUUCCUAUCACGCCUGUAGCGCCACUCAAAAUUUAACAAACAGACCCUAAAUCAUAAAAACUUAACGAUAACAAUUAAAAUUAAAAAUUAAAUAAAAAGAAAGAGAGAAACUUACUAAGAUUGAAGAACCCACUAAAAAUAUGUUGAUAUAAUUUUGGAGAGGAAGAUAGUCACUUCUUCUUUGGUUCUCUCAUACUUUUUGUUUGGCUUGGCUUGCUUCCUGGUUGGAGGCUGCUUUUUUUUUUUUUUUGGGUCAAAUGGUCGGAGGCUUUUGUUCUAUUAUUUUCGUUGAUUUUUUUGGGCUUAGUGGAUUCCCUAUCCACUCUUUGUAUGUGGGGUUAAAGAUGGCUAAGUAGGCAGGCUGACUUAUGUAUAGAAGGGUGGGCUAUUUUAUAAAAUUUCUAGUUAGCCUGCACUUUUAAACUUAUUUACUAAAUUAGGACUAGGCUGGAGCCCACUCCAGUCCAAGUGUAGAUCCGUCCUUGGUGAUGAUAAUCUUUGAGGGAAUACCUAAAAAAAUAAAUGGUUCUGAUCAUUAAAAUAUAAUGCAAGGCCUAAAAGAAAGGGUUUUCUCCUUUUCACCUUUUUCUCUCUACCUCCUUAAUUUUCCCUUUUAAAAUCUUUUUAGGCUUAUUUAUCGAUGUGUCCUUUGUGUUUCACCAAAAUUUCAC